UUCCUCUCGAGGCUGGUUUUAUCCCAGCCUGUUCCCUUUGGGAAAAGUCCCCGGACAUGAAGGCAGAAAGUGUCAGCCUGAAGAGGCAAGACCCCUGCUCUGAGUUCUCUUGUCGCGAAGAUGGCGCUUGCCAGAGUGGUGAGAACAAAGGCAGGACGUUCGUCGUACCAAAGUUAUGCGAACAUAGCUAGGCUUCUCAGCCCUGCUAACACGCAACGGGGCUUACUCUCGC
rnacentral:RNase_MRP_RNA from 1 species